AGACGUCUACGAGUUUGAUCAUGGUUCAGAACGAACGCUGGCGGCAUGCCUAACACAUGCAAGUCGAACGAAGGCUUCGGCCUUAGUGGCGCACGGGUGCGUAACGCGUGGGAACCUGCCCCUCGGUUCGGAAUAACAGUUAGAAAUAGACUGCUAAUACCGGAUGAUGACUUCGGUUCAAAGAUUUAUCGCCGAGGGAUGGGCCCGCGUAGGAUUAGCUAGUUGGUGGGGUAAAGGCCUACCAAGGCGACGAUCCUUAGCUGGUCUGAGAGGAUGAUCAGCCACACUGGGACUGAGACACGGCCCAGACUCCUACGGGAGGCAGCAGUGGGGAAUAUUGGACAAUGGGCGAAAGCCUGAUCCAGCAAUGCCGCGUGAGUGAUGAAGGCCUUAGGGUUGUAAAGACUCUUUUACCUAGGGAGUGAUAAUGACAGUACCUGGAGAAUAAGCUCCGGCUAACUCCGUG
rnacentral:rRNA from 1 species